UGUGUAUGUGUACAGCCACCCCCUGGCACAAAAGCUGCAAUAGAAAAAUAAAGUCUAUUUGGCAUUUAAGGGCUUUUGACUGUCUGGCUACAGCUUAUCUUUCCCUCUUACAUGUAUGUUCACCCUUGUGCAUUGAUAUUCCUGACAAAUUGACCUACUUGUCAUCCUUUCAUCUAUCCUACAUUUCAUCUCUUUUCUUGGCUGCCUCUCAUGCCUGAAAUGUUCUCCCUCCUUGGUUCUACCAGGUAGCAUUCCAAUAACCCCUCCCCACCAGCAGCGCUCACCUUUCAUGACACCACAAGACCUUUCCUGAUUCCUUCAUCCUUUUGUUUAUUUUGUAUAUACGUAUUUGUUAAUAUACGUAUCUUCUCCAUAGGAUGUAGGCUCCAUGAGAGCAGGGACUACCCCACUUCUGUAGUUGUACCCCAGCACAUAGUAGAGUUAAGUACCUAGGAUGUGUCAUAGUAGGCACUUACUAAGUCAGUUGAUAAAAAUGUUCUUCAGCGAAACCAGUCCCUAUCCCUAUUUUGUAGAGUGAUUUUCCACACAUUAUUUCAUCAGAUCUUCACAACAGUGUGGAGGUUAUUAGUGUUACAACUAUUAUAUUUAACCAAAAAGGAAGCUAAGGCCCCAGGGUCACAAUUCAAGUGAGAGGCACAGUUCAAACCCAGUGUUGGAACUUUGACUCCAAAUUCCGUGCUCUAUGUCACAUAUUAUUUUUAAAAGGUCAUUACAUUAACACCAGGACAUCUAGAAUUAAUAACUUGGAAGAGAGAAAAAGCCUAACAUAUACUGAUUACUCAUUUGGUAUUUAUUCCUUUCCACACUGCUCCCCAAAUGUAGGUGGAUAGGUAGAUACUUUUGUACCAGUAGGGAAGGUUACAGUCGUAGUAAGUGCAAGAAUUUGGACCCUACUUCACACCAAGCUUCCAGAACUUAGCUAAAACCUUUCCAGCUUCUGCAAGAAUGUAGCUUCACAACCAGCAACUGCUGUUACAAUUCAUGUUUCGUUUUUCAGCCAAAUCAAUAAGCAUUUAAGUGUCCACGACGACGUGCAGGGCAGUUGGGCUGGGAGCUGGGGAUACAAGUACAAAGAAUGAAAACAAAGGAGCUUAGUUUAUAAGGCAAGUUCACGGGGUAAUUCUUCGGCUUUUCCUCCAUUUAAGAAAUCAUACGGGAAGGCAAGCUUUGUUUGCAGUUUCUACUUAAGAAGGCCUCCUCGAACGAAAAAGAAAAAUCUAAGUAUGGCAGCGCAGACUACAGGACCUAAGCAAAAAGUCCUGCAGAAAAUCUGUCCCCAAGAAGGUUGACUUAAGCUCUGCACACUUUUUUUAGCGAGUUCGGACGUAAGCCGAGCCCGGAGAUCGCCCGAUGGCCUCGAAGACGCCUAUCUCGUCUCCAUUUUGCAGAUGAAGAAACCGGGCCCGAGGAACGAACUGGCAAGGCCAAUAACCGUAACCUCCGAGUCGGAAGCCAGCCACCUGCACACUCUACAGCUGCAAAGCCUCUGCAGGGUUAGUGCAGCCACUCCCGCCCGGGGCCUUUUUUUACAAGCUUGCGCCGUGACGUACAACGACGAGACGUCGGGAUGCACCAAUCGCGCACGGUCUGGCGGCGGCGGGCGCGCGUGUGCCCGCAGUUUGAACUAAAAGCCGGUGUGGCUGUCGGUAGCGGGCGAGCGGAGGAACCCGAACCGAGCCAAGCGGGAUAAAACCAUGAAGAAAAUGGAAGUUUUCUUGAAUUCUACUUUCCCCGUUUUCCCUUGAAGUUUUACUGUGAACAAUUAGUUUUAAAUAAUUUUUCUUUUAAAGGACUUUUUUGGGUAGUCUUAUCAAGAUGAUUACAUCAUGUCCACAAAGUCCACAAACACCAAAGUUUUCAUUGAAUUCUCUUAGAAGAGGAAAUGCACCGAUUAAUGCAGUUCUUUCCAAAAAUAUACCUUCAGAAACUCUUACACCAUUAAAAGAUUUAGUGAAAUAUAAAAACAACAAUUUAAAUGACAACAACAAUACAAAUGACCUUGGAGAGCACUUGAGCCCAGAAACAGAACAGUGUAAGAAUGAAAUCAGUUCACUUCGGUCAACAAUAAUAGCCGGUAACCUUGGCUCUGACAAUUUUUCGGAUGGCUCUGACGAAAAAGCUAAUGAACACAAAGAAGCAACAUUUUUUCCAAAUGAGGAAGUUUUCAAGGGAAACAAAACUUUUGACAUUGUAACCUAUGACUCUCCUGCAAAAAUAUUUCAAAGAAUGAAAACAAGGGCACAAGAAGCUUCACAAAAGCAGUCACUGAAAGACAAUAUAUCGUUGGAGUUACAGAGAAGUCAGAGAGAUGUGAUCUUGAGUCCUGUUUCACUGGAUAAGACUUUUAUUUCUGGCUUUCCUGAUUUUCACAAAGUGUCAUCAGAUGAUCAUUCAUUUUCAGGUGAACCUUCUGUUUCUUCAGAAAGAAAAACCUCUUCCCUACCUAGUGAGGCUCCCCUGAUAAAUUUCCAGAAUAAAUUUUUCCUUCCAGUAAAACAAAAGAUCCCACAUCAGCAAGAAAACCAGUCUUCUCAUCAGAAUUUGACUUAUGACAUUACAACUUCGAAAGACAGACAUGAAAAUAUUUCAACUUCAGUAAUUCUGAGUGAAGCAUUAGCCAGCUCUGCCAAGCUCAUUCAAGACGAUAAAAACAGAACUACAAGUGUUGAAUUCAGCUUGUCUAAUACCCUUAUUUUGGAAAGCGUCGAUGCUGAUGAUGAAAGAUCACAAAGUCCUAAUAUUAAUGGUGUCAGUGUCGACCGGGUACCAGCUAACACGGGCAGCCAGUUAUCAAAAUGUGACAGUGAAGUGCCUACAAAAGGAUCAUUAGAACAGGAAAUGAGUGAAGAAAAUGAAGAAAAAAUCUCUAAGACUGUCCAACAGGGUUCUGCAUCAGAUAUGUUCAAAGUUUUGACUGCAGCUCCUAAAACUCGCGUAGUAGCACCAGAGAAAAAAGUUUCUAAGAUUUCCACUAGUGUAUCAAACACCAAUAAAAAUGCAUUCACUACCAAAAAAAAGGAAAUUUGUCUACAGAAAUGGAUGAUUAGGAACAUGAAUAAUAACACUGCUGUAUGUGUAGAAGGAAAAUUGAUAGAUACUCCUGACUUAUAUUGGCAUAGUAAUGCAAUUGUUGAACGUCUUGACUACAACAGACUUAGGACUAUAUCAGGCAAUGUCUAUGUAUUAAAAGGAACAAUAGACACUAUUUCCAUGAAAGAAGCAGGGUUUCCAGCUAGUUUUACUAGGAAGUUUAUAUUUGGAUUUCCAAAAAACUGGAAACAAUAUGUUGAUGAUUUGUUACACGAAUUAAGGACACUUCCUAAGAAAGGAAAAAAAUGUAAAUUGGAUCAACAAGAAACAGAUAAAUCUGUCUUUGACACAAGGAUGAAAAAAAGUGAUACAUCAGAAGAAACUGGAACAGAAAUGGUCUCCAAAAAUGCCAAAACUAAAAAUACUACCUUUGAUGUUUCUGAAAACUGCUCUGAAAUACCUAUUGAGUGUAAUGCUUUACAUAGAGCUACAGAAUUAAAAAUGUUUCAUACUGAUCAGCAUCAUGAAGUACCUUUAAAAUUUCGGCAUGAUGAACAUAAUUGUGAUAAUCAAACGAAUAUCACUUUCCAUACUGGUGGAAAAACCUGCCUACCUAAAGAGGAAUCAACUUCAAAAAAUGAAAGUAAACUGAUAACUUCUCCAAAGAAAACCAAAAAUCAUGAAGUUAAAACAAAUGAAACAAUAUUUAAAAGUCUAAAGAGAGUAAGGAAGAAUGUGGCUAAAGACACCACUCAAGAGUUGAUUGAGUCCAGUGAUACACAGUCUUCAAGGGAAGAGUUUCUUUCAGAUACAGAAAAAAUGGAAUGUGUGAAUAAUAUAAAAAAGAAGCUUACUGUCAUGUUAACACCAAUGAAUUCUAAAAAGACACUGGAGCAAAAAUGUAAAGAUAAUAAUUUGUCCACUUACACCAUAAAAAGAAUCUCAGAACUUGCUUUGCCAAAACAUAAAAAUGGUGGCAACAAAGCUGACUUGAGGAAAAAUAAAAACAACAGAUUGUUAAAGUCUUUAGAAAAGACAUUUGGAAGUGGCUUAAUACACAAAACUGAGGAUGAGGAUGAUACUGGCAUAUAUGCUUCAGUCACCAUCAACCAGAAAAUUAAAAUGUCAUCACCUCCAAAGGAGCAAAGUUCUACUUCUGACUCUGAGAGAAAAAUAAAAAAGUCAUUAAGACUAAACAGAAUUGAACCUUCUGGAAAUAUUUUGCCCCACAAAAUUCAAACCAAGGUGACAGAGAUCUCUAGUCAAGAAAGUGAAACAGAAGAGGAAUCCAGAAAGAAGGCUCAACUUGGCAUGAAAACAAGGCAGAAGGAUAUCAAGGAAACUCUAAUUAACCAGUCAAAAUGCAAAAGGAAAGAUACUAGGAAAAGGCCAGUAAUAUUAGAACAUGAAAGUGAAGAGAGCGAUAAAGAUAUUCACUCUAAGACAAAGAAACCCACAUCUCUUUCCAACAAAACUGCUGUUCAGAAGAUUGGUAACCGGAAAAAGUUUUCAUCAGCAGAGGUGAUGGGAUCUAGAGAAACAAAGGAUCAACCUUUGGAGUGUUUUCCAGAUUUAAUUAAAGAGGAUAACUGGACUGAGAAGGAGUUACAGAAAUUUCAAGGGGCUUUAUCAUCUGUGCCAAAACAAAAACAUGGUUUCUGGUUGAAUGUAGCCACCUCUGUGGGACCUCGGACUACCGAAAAAUCCCAGAAGAAACACACAGAAGAGCAUCAAGGAAGAGGUUCUCGGAAACGUGCCGUCAAGAAAAUGGUACCCAGCCCCAGAGUCUCAAAUGGCACAGAGGUUGAUACUGAUACAAACCAGCCUGUAAGGAUAACUGCCAGAGUGGGAACUCUAAAAAGAAAACAGCAGAUGAGAGAUUUCUUAGAACAACUGCCUAAGGAUGAUCAUGAUGACAUGUUCAGUGGAUCGCCUUUGCAUAAUCAGAGAAUACAGUUACCAAAUUUUGAAGUCAGUCAGGAUGAUGAUUUUCCACCUAUGGACAGAGAUCCAACAACUCCAUCUUCAGUUAUUUAUCCCUUGGCAAAAACCCCCCAGUGUCAACAUGUCAGCCCUGGUAUGCUGGAAUCUGUUAACAGAAAAGAUUGUGAUAAAUAUGUGUUUCAAAUGCAAAAGGAGAAUAAAAGUCAUGGUGGUAUGGUGUGGGCCAAUGUCAAGAAGAAACUGGUUGGAUCUGAUUUUACAACUCCAACAUCUAGAAGAAGAACUCAGUUUAAUAAAGGAAUGAAAUCUGAUAUUGGAAAACUGUUCAGUUAUACAACAAAAUUGAAUUUUGAUGAAGAAGAACAAGAUGAUUAUUUCUCCAACUCUGAUUCUGCAGAGUAAAAUAAGAACACAUGAAUUCCACAGUUUAUUUAACACCAUAACACACACUUGUAUAUGAGGAUGAUGGGACUGGGACUGCUUACAAAGUAAGAUACUGAAUGAAAUCUAGACAGAUCUCGAAUCAAAAAAUAAAAGGACUAUGUAAAAUGAAAAUUUAUGGAAAACUCUAAAGGGAGCUUCCAGAUAAUUGGCCAGACUUCACAAGAUACUCUUGGAAGCCUAGGAACAGAUGUGAUUUUUCCCAAGACCACACAACCAAAUUAGCGGAAGGUUCGGAACCCAGGACUUGUCAUUCAUAAUCCAGGCUUCUUUUCAGUGUGCCAUGCUACCUCCCAGAAGUAACUGUAUGAUUUUAAUAAGUGAGUUGAAUAAAUUCAGGAAUUGCAAAACAUUUUUGAUGCUGAAUUAGUAUUGUGUUAGCAUCUGAAGGAAUGAUUUGAAAGAGGGAAUUGGCCAAAUUCUCUACAUUAACAGCAAUUUCUAAAAGACUGAUUUUGUAGUAAUUUAGUCACCAGCCCUGAAAGAUCAAUCCUUGCAUAGAAUUUAACUAGCUUAAUGAGCUUUCACAGCUAGCUAGUAGAGGUCUCCAGACAUUAUGGAAUGUAAUUUUGCCAUUAGAACUGGACCAUCCUAUUACAGACACAUCAAGAUCACAAUGAAGAUUAGUCAAUAGAAUUUCAAGUUGCAACUUAAAUUGUAAAUUUACAAUUCAUGGUAUACUAAUACCUCCGUAUGUAACCUCUGAAACCAUGCUAUGGAGCCAAGUUAAAAGUGAAAAUAUGUUCUAAGAGGGGGGCAGAGCCAAGAUGGUGAAGUAAAAGCCGUGACUUGCUUAAGCUU